rnacentral:lncRNA from 1 species
UAAUUUUGAGGACGAAAUUCUUAGAAGAAGGGGUAAAUGUGACAACUCAAAAAUUUAUAAGAUUAAUAAAAUCUUGAAUGAUUAAACAAAGGUUAAAUAAUAAAACCUAGACUAGAAAUAUAGUACUGAUUAUGAAUUUUGCGAAGAAUUUGUAUGAUUUAUUAACUGAAAGGGAUUAUCUUAUAGCGAGGUAUAUGAUUUUGGGUAUUGUGAUUAUGUGUAUGUUCAGUAUGUGAUUAAGGGUUAAGUGUGGAGUAGAUAAAUUAUAACAUUGGUAAACCCUAAUGUUAUAUUAAGAACCCUAAUGUUCAAUUAGGAAACCCUAACGAUUGGUUAGACACCUUAAUUCCAGUUUUGGAAACCUUAAACCCUAAUCAAGAAUUCUAAAUCCUAAUUUGCAUACCCUAAUACUAAGUAUCAAACCCUAAGGGUUAAGAGUUAUGUGAAUCAUGUUAAAUGGCCAAACUACCCUUAAAAUUAUGGGGGAAAUUACCAAAAUACCCUUUUACUUAACUUUUAAGUAAAUGAUAUAACCAAAUCUUGGUCAGUCAUCAAUCUAGAUCUCACAUGUGCUCUAAAUCAACUUCAAUCAACCAAUAUUGGACACCUAGCAACAACUACAACCAUUGAAUCAAAGAUAGAAAAUUAAAGUAAGAAAAGUCUUUACUUUUAUGUUCAUAAGCCAAGACUCUCACACUCUCUCUCCUAGAUAACUAAGUUUCUUAUGAAACUCAGUCCUAAGUUAAGUAAGAAUCACCCCAUAAGCAUAGAAGAUUCAGAUCAAGGAGUAAAAAUCAAAAGUUGGAUCAAGAAGGUAUAAACCCUAAUUCAUGUUAGAUCUUUAAGAUCUCAGUAGAUUAUGUGUUUUUUUGUUUAAAUGUGUGUUAUGUGAUGUUAUUUAGUGAUCGAUGAUGAUAUAUCAUGGAUCCAUAACAUCUAAGGGCAUGAAAAUAAGGAUUUUAUAAACUGACAAGAACCCUAGAAAUAUGGCCUGACAAUCAAAUGUCAAAGAGCUUAGAUCUUAAUCUGUUAAAUGUUAGACAUCCUAAGUGUAUCCUUGUUAAAGUUUUUCAUGAGGAGAGUAAUCUAGAAGUGGAAUAAUGUCCAUACCAUGUCCAAAUCUCAUGUUAUUAAUGGUCAAACAUGGUUGACCAAUCAUGAAAAUGAAAAUCUGGAAAACCCAGAAUUUGCCCAGAAAUGUCUGACAACAUGUUUAGGGGCUUAGAUCUUACAUAUGUUAUGUUGUUAGCUUGGUUAACAAUAUCAUUGAUAUACCCUGAUAUAUGGACUAUAGAACCAUGACACUAAACACCUAAAUCAUCAACAAGAUCAAAGUUAUUAAUGGACAAACUGGGUUGACCAAGCACAGAAAGUUAUUUCUGGAAAUUCCAGAAAUUUCCUAAAACAGUUUCUGACACCCUUUUGACUAGCC